GAUGAACGCUGGCGGCGUGCCUAAUACAUGCAAGUCGAGCGAACAGACGAGGAGCUUGCUCCUCUGAUGUUAGCGGCGGACGGGUGAGUAACACGUGGAUAACCUACCUAUAAGACUGGGAUAACUUCGGGAAACCGGAGCUAAUACCGGAUAAUAUAUUGAACCGCAUGGUUCAAUAGUGAAAGACGGUUUUGCUGUCACUUAUAGAUGGAUCCGCGCCGCAUUAGCUAGUUGGUAAGGUAACGGCUUACCAAGGCAACGAUGCGUAGCCGACCUGAGAGGGUGAUCGGCCACACUGGAACUGAGACACGGUCCAGACUCCUACGGGAGGCAGCAGUAGGGAAUCUUCCGCAAAGGGCGAAAGCCUGACGGAGCAACGCCGCGUGAGUGAUGAAGGUCUUCGGAUCGUAAAACUCUGUUAUUAGGGAAGAACAAAUGUGUAAGUAACUAUGCACGUCUUGACGGUACCUAAUCAGAAAGCCACGGCUAACUACGUG
rnacentral:rRNA from 1 species